GAUGAACGCUGGCGGCGUGCCUAAUACAUGCAAGUCGAGCGAACGGACGAGAAGCUUGCUUCUCUGUUGUUAGCGGCGGACGGGUGAGUAACACGUGUAUAACCUCCCUAAAAGUCUGGGAUAACUUCGGGAAACCGGAGCUAAUACCGGAUAAUAUUUUGAUCCGCAUGGUUCAAAGGUGAAAUUCGGUCUUUCUGUCACUUAUAGCUGCAUCCGCGCUUCAUUAGCUAGUUGUUAAGGUAACGGCUUACCACGGCAACGAUGCCUGGCCGACGUGAGAGGGGGAUCGGCCACACUGGAGCUGAGACACGGUCCAGACUCCUACGGGAGGCAGCAGAAGGGAAUCGGCCGCAAUGGGCGAAAGCCUGACGGAGCAACGCCGCGUGAGUGAUGAAGGCCUUCGGAGCGUAAAACUCUGUUAUUAGUGAAGAACAUAUGUGUAAUUAAAUGUGCACAGCGUGACGGUACCGAAUCAGAAAGCAACGGCUAACUACGUG
rnacentral:rRNA from 1 species